CGACUCUCCGACUCUUGGAUUAAUAAGGAUCGUAUAUAUUACGGCGAUGAUUUCAAAGAGGAGAGAACGAUUCCCGAGUCGACACACGAGUUUAUUAACGGCGGUGACGAGAGUAGUGCCAACGGCUAGUCGUGCCAACCGACUCGAUGACAUGGCUAGUCACCUAAGACGCAAAUAGAUCGGGGGAUGGGACUGUAUAAUCUGCGAUCGAUAAUUCGCUCGAGCGUGAGAUUCUGCACAUUUCUCUCUCUCUCUCUCUCUCUCUCUCUCUCUCUCUCUCGAAUAUUCUUCCCGUAUUAUUAUAUUAUUACUCGUUCCAUUUUAUUCACGAUUUUCGACACGAACAAUUUCUCAAGUUUUUUUCUUUCUUUCAAUGGAAACAAUUCCAAGCAGUGUAGCAGUGACGCAAAACCGUCCGCGUUUCCGAUCCUAACCACGUACGAAACGUAAUCCUUGUACGGUAAAGUGUCCGUCACGCGACACGUCUGUCGAGUGACGGCGGCCAUUGUGGAAAAGAAGGUCGCGCGAUACGGAAGAAGGAAAACAAUCUCGCGAGAGGAGAUUUCUACCUCCUUCCUAUAUGUCGUCAUUUUUUUCUUCUACACGCACGCACACACGCACGUGUCGAUUACGAGCGCGGCUGUUUCAAAUUAUAUAUCGAUGCGUGUACACGAUCGAGUACUUUCCUUAUUCGAAACCGGAGGGACUCCAAUUCGAUCGACCGCGAUUCGCGACGACGACGACGACGACGACGACGACGUGAUUCAAUGUAAUUCAUUCCUUCCUUAUGACACACCGCGUAAUAAACUAUAACAACGAUCCGAAGUGUAAUCAAACCAUCCUUGCUAAUCCGAUGACGCGCGAUUUAUGAAAACUGAUCGUCGGAACAGCUAACGCGACUUCGAAUAACUCUUCGAUGAUAAUCGACGAUAUUUCCCGGAACGAAUUUCUCCGCUCCGUUCCAAUUAAUCUGUUUCUACCGAUGAAUACUUUUGUGGAAUGAAAAGAUCCGUGACGUGAAAUAAAAUAAUAGACACGAUACGAUAAAUAACGUGUUGUUUACUCGUUUUUUUUUUCUUUACAUUUAUCUUAUCUACGAGAGCAAAUAUUAAUAAAAAAAAAAAAGAAAGGAAAAAGAAGAGAAAAAAAAUCACCGAGGACGGUUGCCAAGUAAGUAGUAUAGUCACGCGCCGUUAAGUGUACGUUCAAGGUGCGCACACUGUGUAUACAUCAAGAGGCCAUUUGUAUUCGCGUAAUGCACGCCACCUAAGAUCAUUGCCUUAACGCCGUGUUUGCACGGUGAGCGCGUUAAAUCGUUUAUACAACCGAUCCCCUGUGCCGGCAACGUGGCGAAGAUACGCCGCAUAUUUCGGCCCCUCGAGGACGAUCGUUUCGUUGAAUACGCGUAGGCGUGGCAACGUGGUAGAUGACGCUCAUGCUCAACAACAAGUAUACGAGUAUCUCCUCCCGUAAAAUUUUUCGUGACCGUUAUACGAGAGAGAGAGAGAGAGAGAGAGAGUGGCUCGGUAGACGAAAGGCAAAGGUGAAGAAUUCCGAGAGAUCGAGGGACGUGCCUGUACUGCCAACAAUACCGGUCCGGGUACAAGUCGCAAAAUAGCCUUGGGUAAGGUCGGGCUAUUCCCCAAGGUCGGGAGUGUCAGCGAACCCAGCGCCACUCGACGGGGAAUAAAAAUUUACCGUCGAUAUCAAUUGCGGAAUAAUUCGUCGUUCGAAAUUUUGGCGCUUUUUUUUCCUUACACCGGCGAUAAUUCGAACCGAGUCAAACGAAUUGUUACACGUAACAAACGCGAUUGUAUUUAUGAAAAUGCGUAUUCUUAAACGAAUUUUUCUUAAAUUUAAAGAUUAUUACGCGAAGGACAUACAAGUCAUUUUUAAUCGUUUCUUAUAUGCGUAUUGUAUUUGACUCGAGCGGUGAGCAAAAAGUUGACCAGUCUCGUUUAGAGUCGUUGACGAGUGAAAAUGGUGGUCGCGUUUAACGUUUGCAAUAUUAAAAUUUAAAACGUUUGCGAUGUAACGAUGACAUAUGCGUGAACUUUUGCCAGGGCACAAUUACAUAAGAUACAGAGCGCGAUCGGUGGUCGUGUGAUCAAAUAUUACGCGACGGAUUCUCGUAAUGUGUUAAUUAGCCGCGAUAAACGUCUGGGGUAAUAAUACUAUGAUUUAGUAAUUUUUUUUUAGUAAUUUCUCGGGAGGGAAAAUAAAGCCACGAUAAUCCACGACCUAGGAAAUAAAAUAAUAAUAUUUCAUUGAAUUAUCGAUUUUUUUGUAUUCUAUCGUAUUAUUUAUCGCAACACAUACUAACUUCUAAGCAGUUAGAAAUAAUUUGUUGUUCACGUGUGCUUGUUAAAAUGCUCGAAUGUUUUCAUGUUGACUUUAUCGUUAGAAAACGUGCGAGUAUAAUCCAAGUGAUAGUUAUGUAAGAAAGCACGUGUGUCCCUGCAAAACGUGCCACGUGCUCUAAUGACACUAUCCGUUUAUGGAUUACAACGUAAAAAUAUUUAUUUAUUCAAGCUUCGGCAUUUAUAAUACAAAUACGAUUGUUUGGAUUUUUUACGCACAUACGUGCUGAUUAACGGAAAUGCAAUGUAAUUUCCUUUUUCGAACGAUUCUUUAUGCUAUGCAUUAUCAAUGUCGAUCAAUAUAUGAAAAGAAUUUAAAUAAAUUUAAUUUCCUUCGUGAAUCAUGCUUUACAUUGACAAUACUUUGUAAGUGAAAUUAACGAAGUAAUCUAUUUUCGUAAGAAAUAAAUGAUAUGAAAUAUUAUGCUCGUGACGUCACGACUUGCGCGCGCAUUCUUUUCGAUAAUCGAAAUUAAAAGAUCGCGAAAUUUCGAUAAUCGAACGAGUGUCAUGGUGGAAUUUCUAACGGGUGCCACAGCAUAGUGACGUUUGAUAAAAAAAUUUGAAAAACAACCGUUCUGCGUCUAAAUAUCCGUUCGUGUCGUUUAUAUUACGCGUAAGAGAAGUGCGUGAGAAUGAAAUUUAAUUAAUAAUAUGCGUUUAUUGUGUGAGGAAGCAUAUACUUUCCCUGGUAUUGUCUUCCAUCAAAGACACCUAAAUGAACAAGUAAGUUUUCUCGUAUUUUUCACGAAUUAUUUACGCAUGUUGUUUUUUUUUAACUCUUUUCUCAUAAUUAAUUUUCUAACGGAUUUUUAUUAAUAAUUAUAUAUCGGUUUAAUUUCUUAAUUAUCGAAAUAAUUUAAUUUCGAAAGAAACGAACGAUUUGUUUAAAGUUGCUUAUGACGUCACGCUGCAGAGCGACGCGCGCAUCUCUUCGAUAAUCGAUAAUUAAAGAAUCGCGAUCGAGUAAAAUUUCGAUAAUCGAAGGAGUGUCAUGGCGGAAUUUCUAACGGGUACCUUUGCAUAGUGACGCUUUGAUAAAAAAUUUGAGAAAUUACCGUUUUGCAUCCAAAUAUUCGCUUCUGUCGUUUAGAUUACGUAUACGAGAAGUGCAUGCGAGUGAAAUUUAUAAUAUGUGUAUUUAUCGUGUGAAGAAGGAAUAAACAUAUACUUUCCCUCGUACUACUCUUCUAUCAAAUUUCUUCUACGAGAGGUGAAUCUCAUCAUACUUUUUUUUAUUUUACGUUUGUCGAAUAAUUAACCUUUCAAGGAAUUCUUAUUAACGCUAAUAUAUUUAACUUCGAUAAGAAACAAAAUAUGCGAUUCGAGUAGAUUAGGAUAUCGAACUUGCAACUCGAUCGAGAGCGAGCGAGAGAAAGAAACGCGUUGGUAAGAAAGAGUAAGAGAGAAAUCGAAACGGCAAACUUGUGAAUUAACCGUUGAAACACGCGGGCAGAGUUACGUAAGGGUCUCGUUGCAUCGUGUACGCGUGCGUUUCUUCUAUCCACGUGCUGUACGCGCUCGUUAGAAGUGAAUGUCAGCCGCUUAUAUCGCGGAAGCCCCUUACCAUCCGGGUAAAUAUGCCGACGUAUAUACGUGAAUCUCUUCUAAUCACGUACUUCUGGCCGAGAAACGUGCCACUAUGACCUCGCACAGCUGUAGUUUUACAAUCUGUCAAGUCUGCUGCCUGCCUGUCCUUCCCUCUAUCGAUUAUAUUAUAUCUUAUACCUUAAAUUAUCUUCGCAUCGGCUGCGUCACGGUUAGUUAGAAACUGUUCCACUCGACUGUUUCUGGGAAACACGACCAAUAUCGACGUUUCAUAAUGCAGAGUCGGUAAUUACGCCUCUCGUAUUUGAAGAUAAUCUUUCCACAUUUUUCGCCAGAGGGCAGUAAUAAAAAUUUAAAAGAAACGUUGGAGACCUCGAUAUAUUUACGACGAUCACGUACAAGCCGCGUCACGGAAUAUUGUAUUACAUUUUCGCAUGGGAAAAAUUCAAUAGUUCAAUUUCGUUUCACUUAAAUUUCCCAUUCUUAUAAUUUUUCCUACAUAUUCGUGCUCUUUUUUAUUGUUAUAUAUCGUUGAAUUAUAUAUUAUAUAUAAUAUUAUAUAUCAUAUAUUGGACUCGCUAUAACAGGUGUUCUCUAUCAAAGAAUAACGAGACUCGAUAAACAAAGAAUCUUCGAAACAGUUUGAUAUUGAUGAGAAUUAAUUAGAUCUAUGAAUUUUGACGACUUAAAUCUCGAAUUGCAUCCGAUUGUUGGCAAAUAUAAUUUUUAUUACACGCUACAAACGAUAAAUGUUAGUUAAAAUAUUGAUAAAAAAAAAUAAAAAAUUCUCGAAAUUUGUGAAGAGCGCGGUUUAAUUUAUUAUUUAAAAAAAAAAAUGCACGAUAAAAUACACGGACGUAAUAAAGGCGAUUCAAAAAGAUAGAGUAUCGAGUUGGGUAAAAAUGGGUUCUUAAUUUCCGUUGCAAUGUCGAGAGGUGUAUAGUUAAGACACGAACCCCGCUCGAAAUUGAGCAAUCACCUGGAAUUUCACUCGCGAAGUUACGUAUACACGGGCUUGCGUGACUCACAUCGUCGCAGCCAGUUCUAUCGAUCCGACGAUUUUUGCCAGAGUGGAAAACAUCGCCCACAUAAAAUUUCUGUCGUGACGAAAUGCACGUAGACAGGGUGCACGCCAACCCACGUAUUUUAUUCUAUCGGGUAUAUGCCGCGUAUAUAUCCCGAAACGAUUACAAAUAACCUCUCCAAUUGAAUCAUCGAAUUUUCCAUCCACGUAACACGAGUCCACGAAACAUGUUACCGUGUUUUGAAAUCGGGCCCACAUGCACUUCCGCUUGAUUCUUUUAAUUUCGUCCAAUUCCGCCGCGUGACGAUUUCCAAGUAACAAAAGUUCCUUUCUAACCUAACCUAACCUCCAUCGACUAUAAUUUCAUUGCAGAGACAAAGAAGAGGAGGAGGGGAAAAUUACACUUCUGAUCAUCGGUAAUCGACCAUCCUAUCCGUAGUACAUACUUUCGAGGAACCGAAUCACUCGACUCGGGUACACGACACAUUCUCGUUAAGCUUGGUGCGGUUUUUCUACACUCUGGAACGUUUGGGACGAAUCGGAAGGAAGAAUUGUUGGAACGGAAUGGAAGGGACCGUUGACAGAGAGGAACGGUGGAACGGGGAAGGAAGAGGAUUCGAGAAGAGCCGUGGCAAUGAACUCGGGAGUUUCACAGGUGGCGCGUCGAUCGCGCAUGCGUAAUUCACGCACGUUCUUACCGGUAAUGUAAUUCUCGAUGAUGCGUAUGGGCGAGCGUUGCGGAAUUUCGAGAGAGUUAACGCACCUCUCAGGGGGGACACUCUCGAAAAACUUUCCAAGACGUUGAACCCACUCGCUCCUCGAGUCCACUCCUUGUGCCGAAUUCAAGUUCAGGGCCAAUUCCAAUUCCGAACUUUCCGCUCAUUCAUUUUUUUCCCCCGAUCUUACGCAAUCACGAGGUUUAAUUGUAGGAGAAAAACGAGCGAAUAUAAUAAAACGUUUUUUCUCUCUCCUUUGUUUAGAGGGUGAAUUUCUUCUUUCUUUCUUUCUUUCAAAUUGCUUUUAAAUAAUUAUUUGUCUUGAACGAUACAUUAAUCCGUAACUGUUAAAUUUUUUUUUUUUUUUUGACUGAGCGUAGAAUUUAAUCAUCGGCCUUGGAUUGAAAAUUUCAAAAAUUCCAAAAGUUGUAUUUUCUCGAUAUGACGAAUUAUGUCAGAUAAACUAAAUAAAUUACACUCUUAUGUAUUUUCUCAACCGAUAUAUCCCAUUUUUAUAAAAUUUUUGGAAUUAGUAUUAAUAUUUUAAUUUUUGUAAACAAUUGGCGAAAUGAAUAAAUUAUUCUCUUUAAUAUCACUUUUCAUCUUCCUUUUUCCAUUCUAUCCAAAUAUCAUCAUUAACGAGAUACGUUCAAUUUUGAUAGUCAAUACUUUCUUCCUUAAAAAAAGCUAAUCCAACGUUUCGAUGCUUUGGCUUUGCUUUUCGACAAAUUUGUAUUGCAAGGGAAAUGUAAUAAGAAGGUGAAAAUAUAUCAAGAAAAAUCUACACUAGUUGAUCUAUUCUAAUAUAUAUUUAUUCAAAAUUGGGAAAAAAUGGAUUAAUUUAUUAAAUACACGUGUACACCGAUUAUUCUCCGAAAUAAAAAUUCUUCUCGAGACAAGCGUUCUUUCUCAAAGCACAAACUACGCGAUCCCAUCGGCUGCGCGCGCAUCGGCAGCGACCAUUGUUGCCUCGAAUCGGUGCAAUAUCUGCCAGGACCCGUGCGUCUUCUUCCUCGCCCACUGCCGUACCACUCCUUUAUCCCACCUUGAAUUUUGUAUACACAUAUAUAUCUUUGAACAAAUUGUUAUCUCCGAUUAAAAUAUUUACAAUUUCAAAUCCCCAAAAUUUAAUAACAGAAGUUACGAAAUAAAGUCACCUCGAUUACUUUUAUCUGCUGCUUCGAAUUGUUAUCUCCGAUUAAUAAAAUUUCAAAAAUAUUUUUAAACGACGUAGAGUAUGAAAGAUUGAAAUUUAUAUCCCGAAAAUUUAAUAAUAAAAAUUAGUCGAAAUAAAGUCACGAUUAUUUUCACAUAUUCGUAAUCAAUUAAUUUUUGAAAACGAAUUAAAAUUAUUCCUUCGAUGUUUCUUUCGAGACACGAGGAGAAGGGGGAGGAGGAUCGAAGCUGGAGGGAAAGGACGAAAGGAUAAUAAUAACAACAACAACAAUAAUAAUAAUAAUAAGCCGGUGAAAGAGAAGUGGGACGACGAUGGUAACGGGGUCAAGUGGCGCGAUAGUAGGCAGCGUGGAGGCCUACUUCGGCCUGAAACUAGACUGCCGCGCGAAAACACACGGUCGAACCGGGCCACGAGCGAUGAUGCUCCUCGAACCGAGGGGGCCUUUCUAAUCGAGCUGGCCUGUAUUUCGAGCCUCGCCGGAUAUUAUCCUCGUUACCUGGCCGACCGUGUUACGUGGCGCCACAAUCGCCGCUCCUCCUCGAACGUGACGCGAAUUUUCGAGCGACGAAUCAACGUAACUUUCGACGUAACGUUUCGACCUUUCGCCCAAACUUGCCAGGGCCGAGUAUUUCCUCCGUUUCCCUUUCUCCUUCGGCGAGGGGAAGCCGAUUCUUCUUCUUCUUCUUUUUUUGAAAAGGUUUCGGAUAGAUUUUUUUCCACCGAAUUCGAGACGAAUUAUUACGGCUCGGUUAAUAAUCGAUAGAAAAGAAGGGAAGGAAGGGAUCGACGUAACCGACGUGUGCGAACGUUUCUAGGAGCACGUGGCUCGCUGUAAUACGGCACGCUUAAUCUUGCAAUAUCUCGGAAAAAAGAAAGAAAGAAAGAAAGAAACGUGGAAUUCCCCUCGUUUUUCUUAUCGGAUUUCGAUAUCCGACUUAUCUCCCGAUUCCGUAUUGCGUAUAAUAUCGACGAAAAAUUCGAAUAAUUUCGAAAAACGAAUCCUCCCGAUCUUUUCCGAAUUCGCCCGAAGUUUUCGACGGGAGAAUAUUCCAUUACGCGCCUCGACAACUUUUUAUCCCCCGAGAAUACAAACCUCGCGAAAUUUGAUUUUCAAAUAAGAUUUUUAAGGUCGAAUCUAUUCCCCCGUGAUUUUCGACGAUAUAUCGAUCGAGCACGGGAAAUAAACUCGAAUCUUGUUUCGUAUAUCUUAAUACGUAAAAUUGGACGAUUCGUAUCUCGAAUUAAUUUCUAUCGUUGGAAACUUAAUCGAUAAGGAAAUGGAAUAUAAAUAGAGAUAAAGAAAAUGUUUUUCUGUACAAGAAAUAAUCGUUAUCGGAAUUUCGAAUUUAUAUUUAAUCGCAUUAUCUACUACACACAACGUGUAUCACUGGAAUGAAUGAAAUUUACGAAAUUAUCCAACGAUCGAAAUUAAAAAUAUAUAUUGAAAUCGAUGUUGAACGAGAUUGAAAAAAAUUGUCGAAGAAAUCGUUCGAUCGAAAGAAGAAAGAGAGAGAAGAGGAGAUGCAUGGAUUGGUGGGCGAGCGAGUGAAAGCUGCUCGCGAGGGCUGAAAUCUUGCGAGAAAAUCCAGUCGUUCGUUCUCCUCUUUUUCUCUCUCCUCCCCCCUCCUCCUUUUUUUCCCACCGCGCUCACUUUCUUCUCGAGCUCGAGCUUCCUCGUCGUUUCUCCUCGAUCGAGUAAUGGAACAAUAUUGAAUCGAGAAUUGUACGAAAAAAUUUUUUAGUGGAUUACGAUGGAUUAGUUGAAAAACGUUGAAAACGGAGAUUUUUUCUCUCUUGUUUUAUUUGGAUUCGGGAAGAGGGGAGUGGGAAGAAGGUUCGCGUCGCGGCCGCGGGAGAAAGUGGCGAUCCAAGCGGGCAGAGCGAGAGUAGCCAAGAACUUCUAACUCCGCUUCGAUCCUCUCCCCCCUCCUCGACCUCGAAUCGCAACCGUCGCCGUGGUUCAAUGUCCCGCCGCCGUCGAGUAGAAGGAAACAGGGACGGCCGCUCGCUCUUCUGCCGCUCGAAUUUUUAUUAAAUGCGAGUUUUUUUUUUUUUUUCGAAAUUCAAAUUUCUUUCGAUCGAGAGAGAAAAAGAGAGAUCUUUAUUACCGAUCGAGCUCGAAUUUUAUUGAAGGCGAGCUUUUUUUCGAAAAUUCCGUUCAAAAUUCAAUUCAAAUUCCGUUUUUCUUUCGAUCGAGAGAGAGAAAAAGGGAUCUUUAUUACCGAUCGAGCUCGAUUAACAUCAAUUUCGACGCUUUCAUUAUAUUUCUGAUACAUCUUGCAUUCUUUCAUGUAAUGUAUAUAUAUAUUGUAUAUGUAUAUGUAUAUAUAUUUAGAAGAAUUGAUUUUUCUCUUUAUAAGAUCGUGAGAAAAAAAAAAAUGUGUGUGAAAUAUUGAAUACUCUUUGACUUACUUUUACUUGCUAGAAUGAGAGAAGAAAAAUAUCCACUUCGCUGUUGAAAGACUAUCGAAAGUGUCUACUACGAAUAUAAAAGAAGAAGAAGAAGAAGAA